GAGAAAAAUGAGUUUUACCUGAGUUUUGGUUGAAACUUUUGAUAGAGAAAAUCUUCGGAAAACUUGAAUGUUCUUUGACGAAUCUUUGAUUUUCUCUGGACCGAAAAUAAAUCGGUUUACCGGUUCUGUUUCUUCAUCUUCUCCGAUUCUUUCUCUACUUCUCUCUCUGUGAUUACGUGCUUGAGCUUGCUUCUUGCUUCUUAGAUCUGCGUGAGAGAAUUCCUGUGAUCAGUGCUUGAGCUUGCUUCAAUGUGAGCU
rnacentral:lncRNA from 1 species